UACGUAGGGUGCGAGCGUUGUCCGGAAUUAUUGGGCGUAAAGAGCUCGUAGGCGGUGUGUCACGUCGUUCGUGAAAACCUGCAGCUUAACUGAGGGCGUGCGGUCGAUACGGGCAUCACUGGAGUUCGGCAGGGGAGACUGGAAUUCCUGGUGUAGCGGUGAAAUGCGCAGAUAUCAGGAGGAACACCGGUGGCGAAGGCGGGUCUCUGGACAGUUCCUGACACUGAGGCACGAAGGCCAGGGGAGCAAACGGG
rnacentral:rRNA from 1 species